rnacentral:rRNA from 1 species
GUAAUAGCUCACUGGUCGAGUCGGCCUGCGCGGAAGAUGUAACGGGGCUAAACCAUGCACCGAAGCUGCGGCAGCGACACUGUGUGUUGUUGGGUAGGGGAGCGUUCUGUAAGCCUGUGAAGGUGUACUGUGAGGUAUGCUGGAGGUAUCAGAAGUGCGAAUGCUGACAUAAGUAACGAUAAAGCGGGUGAAAAGCCCGCUCGCCGGAAGACCAAGGGUUCCUGUCCAACGUUAAUCGGGGCAGGGUGAGUCGACCCCUAAGG